rnacentral:rRNA from 1 species
GAUGAACGCUGGCGGCGUGCCUAAUACAUGCAAGUCGAGCGAACGGACGAGAAGCUUGCUUUUCUGAUGUUAGCGGCGGACGGGUGAGUAACACGUGGAUAACCUACUUAUAAGACUGGGAUAACUUCGGGAAACCGGAGCUAAUACCGGAUAAUAUUUUGAACCGCAUGGUUCAAAAGUGAAAGACGGUCUUGCUGUCACUUAUAGAUGGUUCCGCGCUGCAUUAGCUAGUUGGUAAGGUAACGGCUUACCAAGGCAACGAUGCAUAGCCGACCUGAGAGGGUGAUCGGCCACACUGGAACUGAGACACGGUCCAGACUCCUACGGGAGGCAGCAGUAGGGAAUCUUGCGCAAUGGGCGAAAGCCUGACGGAGCAACGCCGCGUGAGUGAUGAAGGUCUUCGGAUCGUAAAACUCUGUUAUUAGGGAAGAACAUAUGUGUAAGUAACUGUGCACAUCUUGACGGUACCUAAUCAGAAAGCAACGGCUAACUACGUG